rnacentral:lncRNA from 1 species
GGAUAGCCUGGCUUCAUUGGACUUACUGAGUGAAGCAGUGCAUUUAGUAGGUGGAUCUCCAGCAGGAGGUUCUCACAGAGGGUUCCCAAAGGUAAUUUUGAUCAACUUGAAGCAUCAACCUGGAGUUCAAACAAGCCCUUUAUAACAAAGUUCCUGCUAGUUCCAAAGUUGGGCAGAUGAUGAGGUAAGGAGUGGGACUAAUCUAUGGAUCAGCAUGUCUAUUUUAAGCCUCUAACAACCCUCUCUGAUUUACAGGAUGCCUUCAGAGCCAUGCACCCAAAGCUUGACAUUGUGCAGUUAUUCCUUAAGCCCCUGCUCAUUGGAGAGCUUAUCCCAGAAGAGGCCAUCCAGGAGAGAAACAAAAAUGAUCUACCUGCACAGGAUCAGACAUGCAUUAAGGAUGCUAUAAAUAGCUGUUGAAUGAAAGAUGUGGAUAUCUUAACUACAGCCCUUUUUACGUUUGGAG